rnacentral:lncRNA from 1 species
GUCACUGUUAACCUCCAUGGUCCCACUACAGUUUUCUUAUUUCUUAUUUUUUUCUUAUUUUUUUUUUCGUUAUUUUUACUUUUUCAACUCGUAAAAAGCUUUCAACCAAAAUUUGCAACUUACGAGAACUAAGAAGCAAGGGAAACGACGCAACAACAUCAUAUGAUGGAAGAUUAGCAUUUGAAGCACCGCAACACAACAACUAUUGAUCUGGCAUUGUGUUUCAUUAUACUUCUUAACCGGUAAUUUCUAUUUUGUCCACGCCAUCACAUUCCCGGUCUAAAGAAACAUGUGGAUAUGACGGUUUCUAGAAUAAAUAGCAACGAGCAAGCAUAAUUUUUUGGGGUUUCUCCGAACAAUCAAGUUUUGCUUUUUCAAUGUGAAAAAAUAAAAAAAAAAUUUAUUGGUGUGAGAAGAAAAUGAAAAGAACAAGAAAUAGAACUCUUAGCUAGGAUUAGAAUAUACAGAAUCAUCAAGACUUUAACCUCCC